AAUAGAUACCCGGGUAGUCCACGCCGUAAACGAUGGAUACUAGCUGUUUGGGAUUAAUUCUGAGUGGCUAAGCGAAAGUGGUAAGUAUCCCACCUGGGGAGUACGGGCGCAAGCCUGAAACUCAAAGGAAUUGACGGGGGCCCGCACAAGCGGUGGAGCAUGUGGUUUAAUUCGAUGAUACGCGAGGAACCUUACCAGGGCUUAAAUGUAGAUUGACGUAUUUGGAAACAGAUAUUUCUUCGGACAAUUUACAAGGUGCUGCAUGGUUGUCGUCAGCUCGUGCCGUGAGGUGUCAGGUUAAGUCCUAUAACGAGCGCAACCCCUGUUGUUAGUUGCCAGCGAGUAAUGUCGGGAACUCUAGCAAGACUGCCAGUGUAAACUGCGAGGAAGGUGGGGAUGACGUCAAAUCAUCACGGCCCUUACCGUCCUGGGCCACACACGUGCUACAAUGGCCGGUACAGAGAGCAGCCACUUAGCGAUAAGGAGCGAAUCUAUAAAGCCGGUCACAGUUCGGAUCGGAGUCUGCAACUCGACUCC
rnacentral:rRNA from 1 species